AGUGAACGCUGGCGGUAGGCCUAACACAUGCAUGUCGAACGGCAGCACAGGAGAGCUUGCUCUCUGGGUGGCGAGUGGCGGACGGGUGAGGAAUACAUCGGAAUCUACUCUGUCGUGGGGGAUAACGUAGGGAAACUUACGCUAAUACCGCAUACGACCUACGGGUGAAAGCAGGGGCUCUUCGGACCUUGCGCGAUUGAAUGAGCCGAUGUCGGAUUAGCUAGUUGGCGGGGUAAAGGCCCACGAAGGCGACGAUCCGUAGCUGGUCUGAGAGGAUGAUCAGCCACACUGGAACUGAGACACGGUCCAGACUCCUACGGGAGGCAGCAGUGGGGAAUAUUGGACAAUGGGCGCAAGCCUGAUCCAGCCAUACCGCGUGGGUGAAGAAAGCCUUCGGGUUGUAAAGCCCUUUUGUUGGGAAAGAAAUCCAGCUGGCUAAUACCCGGUUGGGAUGACGGUACCCAAAGAAUAAGCACCGGCUAACUUCGUGCCAGCCGCCGCAGUAA
rnacentral:rRNA from 1 species